UUUUAGUGACUGAGUGGCGGACGGGUGAGUAACGCGUGGGUAACCUGCCUCACACAGGGGGAUAACAGUUGGAAACGGCUGCUAAUACCGCAUAAGCGCACAGUACCGCAUGGUACAGUGUGAAAAACUCCGGUGGUGUGAGAUGGACCCGCGUCUGAUUAGCUAGUUGGCAGGGCAACGGCCUACUAAGGCGACGAUCAGUAGCCGACCUGAGAGGGUGACCGGCCACAUUGGGACUGAGACACGGCCCAAACUCCUACGGGAGGCAGCAGUGGGGAAUAUUGCACAAUGGGGGAAACCCUGAUGCAGCGACGCAGCGUGAGCGAAGAAGUAUUUCGGUAUGUAAAGCUCUAUCAGCAGGGAAGAAGAAAUGACGGUACCUGACUAAGAAGCACCGGCUAAAUACGUGCCAGCAGCCGCGGUAAUACGUAUGGUGCAAGCGUUAUCCGGAUUUACUGGGGUGUAAAGGGAGCGCAGGCGGAAGGCUAAGUCUGAUGUGAAAGCCCGGGGCUCAACCCCGGUACUGCAUUGGAAACUGGUCAUCUAGAGUGUCGGAGGGGUAAGUGGAAUUCCUAGUGUAGCGGUGAAAUGCGUAGAUAUUAGGAGGAACACCAGUGGCGAAGGCGGCUUACUGGACGAUAACUGACGCUGAGGCUCGAAAGCGUGGGGAGCAAACAGGAUUAGAUACCCUGGUAGUCCA
rnacentral:rRNA from 1 species